GGCGCGUGGAACGGUGUAGUGCAUGGCUUGACACAGUUGAGUCAUAUAACUUUGCCCAAGAUCAAUGGAGUCUGUGCGCAUCAUUGAAUAAGAAGAAAGGUAGCUUAGCUGGCGCUACUUUGGACAACAAAAUUUUUGCAUUUGGUGGUGGAAAUGGGGUUGACUGUUUUUCAGAUGUGGAAAUGUAUGAUGUAAAUGUUGGAAGAUGGAUACCCACCAGGUCAAUGCUACAAAAGAGCUCAAUGGUGCUCUCUACGCUGUU